GAUGAACGCUAGCGGCAGGCUUAACACAUGCAAGUCGAGGGGUAUAGGUUUUCGGACCUAGAGACCGGCGCACGGGUGCGUAACGCGUAUGCAAUCUACCUUUCACAGAGGGAUAGCCCAGAGAAAUUUGGAUUAAUACCUCAUAGUAUAGCAGUUUCGCAUGAAACCACUAUUAAAGUAUCAACGGUGAAAGAUGAGCAUGCGUACCAUUAGCUAGGUGGUAAGGUAACGGGUUACCAUGGCUACGAGGGGUAGGGGUCCUGAGAGGGAGAUCCCCCACACUGGUACGGAGACACGGACCAGACUCCUAAGGGAGGCAGCAGUGAGGAAUAUUGGUCAAUGGACGCAAGUCUGAACCAGCCAUGCCGCGUGCAGGAUGACGGUCCUAUGGAUUGUAAACUGCUUUUGUACGAGAAGAAACAACAUUACGUGUAAUGUCUUGACGGUAUCGUAAGAAUAAGGAUCGGCUAACUCCGUGCCAGCAGCCGCAGUAACAC
rnacentral:rRNA from 1 species